AACGCGAAGAACCUUACCUGGGCUUGACGUCUGGGGAACCUCCUGGAAACAGGAGGGUGCCUUCGGGAACCCCAAGACAGGUGCUGCAUGGCUGUCGUCAGCUUGUGUCGUGAGGUGUUGGGUUAAGUCCCGCAACGAGCGCAACCCCUGUCACUAGUUGCCAUCAGUUCGGCUGGGCACUCUAGUGAGACUGCCGG
rnacentral:rRNA from 1 species